GGGUUGUGAGGUUAAGCGACUAAGCGUACACGGUGGAUGCCCUGGCAGUCAGAGGCGAUGAAGGACGUGCUAAUCUGCGAAAAGCGCCGGCGAGGUGAUAUGAACCUUUGACCCGGCGAUGUCCGAAUGGGGAAACCCAGUGCAAUCCGUUGCACUAUCGUUAACUGAAUACAUAGGUUAACGAGGCGAACCGGGGGAACUGAAACAUCUAAGUACCCCGAGG
rnacentral:rRNA from 1 species